GGUUAAGCGACUAAGCGUACACGGUGGAUGCCCAGGCAGUCAGAGGCGAUGAAGGGCGUGCUAAUCUGCGAUAAGCGUCGGUAAGGUGAUAUGAACCGCAACAACCGACGAUACCCGAAUGGGGAAACCCAGUGCAAUCCGUUGCACUAUCAUGUCAUGAAUACAUAGUGGCAUGAGGCGAACCGGGGGAACUGAAACAUCUAAGUACCCCGAGGAAAAGAAAUCAACCGAGAUUCCCCAGUAGCGGCGAGCGAACGGGGAACAGCCCAGAACCUGAAUCAGUUUGUGCCUUAGUGGAAGCGUCUGGAAAGUCGCGCAGUAAAGGGUGACAGCCCCGUACACAAAAAGGCACUUGCUGUGAGUUCGAUGAGUAGGGCGGGACACGUGACAUCCUGUCUGAAUAUGGGGGGACCAUCCUCCAAGGCUAAAUACUCCUGACUGACCGAUAGUGAACCAGUACCGUGAGGGAAAGGCGAAAAGAACCCCGGCGAGGGGAGUGAAACAGAACCUGAAACCGUGUACGUACAAGCAGUGGGAGCACCUUCGUGGUGUGACUGCGUACCUUUUGUAUAAUGGGUCAGCGACUUAUAUUCUGUAGCAAGGUUAACCGUAUAGGGGAGCCGCAGGGAAACCGAGUCUUAACUGGGCGUUAAGUUGCAGGGUAUAGACCCGAAACCCGGUGAUCUAGCCAUGGGCAGGUUGAAGGUUGGGUAACACUAACUGGAGGACCGAACCGACUAAUGUUGAAAAAUUAGCGGAUGACCUGUGGCUGGGGGUGAAAGGCCAAUCAAACCGGGAGAUAGCUGGUUCUCCCCGAAAGCUAUUUAGGUAGCGCCUCGUGAAUUCAUCUCCGGGGGUAGAGCACUGUUUCGGCUAGGGGGCCAUCCCGGCUUACCAACCCGAUGCAAACUGCGAAUACCGGAGAAUGUUAUCACGGGAGACACACGGCGGGUGCUAACGUCCGUCGUGAAGAGGGAAACAACCCAGACCGCCAGCUAAGGUCCCAAAGUCAUGGUUAAGUGGGAAACGAUGUGGGAAGGCACAGACAGCCAGGAUGUUGGCUUAGAAGCAGCCAUCAUUUAAAGAAAGCGUAAUAGCUCACUGGUCGAGUCGGCCUGCGCGGAAGAUGUAACGGGGCUAAACCAUGCACCGAAGCUGCGGCAGCGGACGUAUCACCCAAGCAGAUUCACUGAAGUGGAUAACGAUUGACGGAGCGCAGCGACGUCAAUGCGCCAUCAAAGUCGAGUCGACUUCGGGAUACGUCCGUUGGGUAGGGGAGCGUUCUGUAAGCCGUCGAAGGUGUGCUGUGAGGCAUGCUGGAGGUAUCAGAAGUGCGAAUGCUGACAUAAGUAACGAUAAAGCGGGUGAAAAGCCCGCUCGCCGGAAGACCAAGGGUUCCUGUCCAACGUUAAUCGGGGCAGGGUGAGUCGACCCCUAAGGCGAGGCCGAAAGGCGUAGUCGAUGGGAAACGGGUUAAUAUUCCCGUACUGGGUGUUACUGCGAAGGGGGACGGAGAAGGCUAUGUUAGCCGGGCGACGGUUGUCCCGGUUUAAGCGUGCAGGCUUGAGUUCCAGGCAAAUCCGGAACUCUUUAAGGCUGAGGCGUGAUGACGAGGCACCACGGUGCUGAAGUAACAAAUGCCCUGCUUCCAGGAAAAGCCUCUAAGCAUCAGGUAACAUCCAAUCGUACCCCAAACCGACACAGGUGGUCAGGUAGAGAAUACCAAGGCGCUUGAGAGAACUCGGGUGAAGGAACUAGGCAAAAUGGUGCCGUAACUUCGGGAGAAGGCACGCUGGCGCGUAGGUGAAGCGACUUGCUCGUGGAGCUGAAGCCAGUCGAAGAUACCAGCUGGCUGCAACUGUUUAUUAAAAACACAGCACUGUGCAAACACGAAAGUGGACGUAUACGGUGUGACGCCUGCCCGGUGCCGGAAGGUUAAUUGAUGGGGUUAUCCGUAAGGAGAAGCUCUUGAUCGAAGCCCCGGUAAACGGCGGCCGUAACUAUAACGGUCCUAAGGUAGCGAAAUUCCUUGUCGGGUAAGUUCCGACCUGCACGAAUGGCGUAAUGAUGGCCAGGCUGUCUCCACCCGAGACUCAGUGAAAUUGAACUCGCUGUGAAGAUGCAGUGUACCCGCGGCAAGACGGAAAGACCCCGUGAACCUUUACUACAGCUUGACACUGAACAUUGAGCCUUGAUGUGUAGGAUAGGUGGGAGGCUUUGAAGCGUGGACGCCAGUCUGCGUGGAGCCAACCUUGAAAUACCACCCUUUAACGUUUGAUGUUCUAACCUGGCGCCGUAAUCCGGCGUGGGGACAGUGUCUGGUGGGUAGUUUGACUGGGGCGGUCUCCUCCCAAAGAGUAACGGAGGAGCACGAAGGUCAGCUAAUCACGGUCGGACAUCGUGAGGUUAGUGCAAUGGCAUAAGCUGGCUUGACUGCGAGAGUGACGGCUCGAGCAGGUGCGAAAGCAGGUCAUAGUGAUCCGGUGGUUCUGAAUGGAAGGGCCAUCGCUCAACGGAUAAAAGGUACUCCGGGGAUAACAGGCUGAUACCGCCCAAGAGUUCAUAUCGACGGCGGUGUUUGGCACCUCGAUGUCGGCUCAUCACAUCCUGGGGCUGAAGUAGGUCCCAAGGGUACGGCUGUUCGCCGUUUAAAGUGGUACGCGAGCUGGGUUUAGAACGUCGUGAGACAGUUCGGUCCCUAUCUGCCGUGGGCGCUGGAAGAUUGAGAGGGGUUGCUCCUAGUACGAGAGGACCGGAGUGAACGCACCGCUGGUGUUCGGGUUGUCAUGCCAAUGGCAUUGCCCGGUAGCUAAGUGCGGAAAAGAUAAGCGCUGAAAGCAUCUAAGCGCGAAACUUGCCUCGAGAUGAAUCUUCCCUGACUCCUUGAGAGUCCUGAAGGGACGUUGAAGACGACGACGUUGAUAGGCCGGGUGUGUAAGCGCAGCGAUGCGUUGAGCUAACCGGUACUAAUGACCCGUGAGGCUUAACCUU
rnacentral:rRNA from 1 species